GUUAGGAAUAUUGGACAAUGGGCGCAAGCCUGAUCCAGCCAUGCCGCGUGAACGAUGAAGGCCUUCGGGUUGUAAAGUUCUUUAGCCGAUGAUUAUAAUGACUGUAGUCGGAAAAUAAGCCCCGGCUAACUUCGUGCCAGCAGCCGCGGUAAUACGAAGGGGGCGAGCGUUAUUCGGAAUCACUGGGCGUAAAGCGUGCGUAGGCGGUCUCGUAAGUUAGGAGUGAAAGCCCAGGGCUCAACCUUGGAAUUGCUCUUAAUACUGCAAGGCUAGAAUCUCGGAGAGGAUAGCGGAAUUUCCAGUGUAGCAGUGAAAUGCGUAGAUAUUGGAAGGAACACCAGUGGCGUAAGCGGCUAUCUGGACGAGUAUUGACGCUGAGGCACGAAAGCGUGGGGAUCAAACAGGAUUAGAUACCCCAGUAGUCC
rnacentral:rRNA from 1 species